UUGAAGUUCAGGUAACACUGAAUGGAGGACCGAACCGACUUACGUUGAAAAGUGAGCGGAUGAACUGAGGGUAGCGGAGAAAUUCCAAUCGAACCUGGAGAUAGCUGGUUCUCUCCGAAAUAGCUUUAGGGCUAGCCUCAAGUGAUGAUUAUUGGAGGUAGAGCACUGUUUGGACGAGGGGCCCCUCUCGGGUUACCGAAUUCAGACAAACUCCGAAUGCCAAUUAAUUUAACUUGGGAGUCAGAACAUGGGUGAUAAGGUCCGUGUUCGAAAGGGAAACAGCCCAGACCACCAGCUAAGGUCCCAAAAUAUAUGUUAAGUGGAAAAGGAUGUGGCGUUGCCCAGACAACUAGGAUGUUGGCUUAGAAGCAGCCAUCAUUUAAAGAGUGCGUAAUAGCUCACUAGUCGAGUGACACUGCGCCGAAAAUGUACCGGGGCUAAACAUAUUACCGAAGCUGUGGAUUGUCCUUUGGACAAUGGUAGGAGAGCGUUCUAAGGGCGUUGAAGCAUGAUCGUAAGGACAUGUGGAGCGCUUAGAAGUGAGAAUGCCGGUGUGAGUAGCGAAAGACGGGUGAGAAUCCCGUCCACCGAUUGACUAAGGUUUCCAGAGGAAGGCUCGUCCGCUCUGGGUUAGUCGGGUCCUAAGCUGAGGCCGACAGGCGUAGGCGAUGGAUAACAGGUUGAUAUUCCUGUACCACCUAUAAUCGUUUUAAUCGAUGGGGGGACGCAGUAGGAUAGGC
rnacentral:rRNA from 1 species